rnacentral:rRNA from 1 species
ACUCAAAGGAAUUGACGGGGGCCCGCACAAGCGGUGGAGCAUGUGGUUCAAUUCGACGCAACGCGAAGAACCUUACCCGGGCUUGAAGUGCGCCGGAACGUCCGAGGAAACUCGGAUUUCCCGCAAGGGACUGGCGUAGAGGUGCUGCAUGGCUGUCGUCAGCUCGUGUCGUGAGAUGUUGGGUUAAGUCCCGCAACGAGCGCAACCCUUGUCCUUAGUUGGUAGCGGUUCGGCCGCCCUCUCUAAGGAGACUGCCCGCGACAAGCGGGAGGAAGGUGGGGAUGACGUCAAGUCAGCAUGGCCUUUAUGUCCGGGGCUACACACGUGCUACAAUGCGCGCCACAGAGGGUCUGCCAACCCGCAAGGGGGAGCUAAUCCCAAAAAAGCGCGCUCAGUUCGGAUUGGGGUCUGCAAUUCGACCCCAUGAAGCUGGAAUCGCUAGUAAUGGCGCAUCAGCACGGCGCCGUGAAUACGUUCCCGGGCCUUGCACACACCGCCCGU